UAGCAAAUAUCGUAUUUUUAUAUAAUAUUUAUAACACCCGACAAAAUAAUGGAUUAUUAAAACAAAAAUGCCUAUCGGAAUUAAUUUUUUUUUUCUUUUUGUAAAUUUUUUGUGUUUGCUGGUCACAGUUUGUCUUCUUUUAUGUAUAUUAAGGCGAGUCCACUAUGUUACUCCCUGCCGACUUACUUAAUUAAUAAAUAUUCGGUUUGUUUCGCUUUUUCUUCGUCUUCAUUUGUAAAUAAUAAUUACGGCAGAAAAAGAGAAGCUAAAUCAAUUUGUGCUGUUGAAAAAAUAAGAGUUAAAGGGCAACUUGCGAACGUCAUUUGUACAAAUAAUCAUAGUUAUUUGUUUCCUGCAAAUAUAUAAAAAUCAUAGAGAUGCUUCUGUUAUUUAUUAUUUCCACUUAUCUGCUAAGGAAUCUACUCGUACUUCUGAUUUAACGUGUUGUUGUCUACAGGUUAAUGAUUUUUGAGAAAGUUUCUCUUCUUCCAAAUGUAUUUCUUCUGGUGUUGUUAAGGUCUUCAUCGUCUAUAUUAGGAUUUAUGCCUUUUAAAUAUUGUUAUUGUUAUGGAGAAAUCUGAUAAAUCUAACUUCUAAAGAAUGGCCUUUCACGCUCCAUUCGUGUUGCCUUAGGAGCAAUUAAAGAUCGUAACAUCUAAUGACUGUAACGUAAAUUGGACACGUAUUUAAUCCAUGUUUUAUGCUAAUAACGAUUCGAAGAGUUCAAAAACACCAUUAACUAAGAAGACACUCACAGGCAUCGGAUUACAGACAAUAACGAGAGUGUUUUGAAGUAAAAUAAUUACCGAGUUUAUCUACAAUGGAGUUUCGCAUCUGACAAGGGAUUGUUCGCAAGUAAAUUUCAACAAAAAAGCGAGCGUGACCAACUUUUAUUUAAUCCAACCGCUAAAUAACGACACCUUCGGUUCCGGACAGUUUGUCAGCCCUUCGUGACGUCAGGGCGUGACGUUAAAAACGGACGUGACUCCGUAACCACGUGCUUUUUUUUAUUAUUAUUUCCGCUGACUGCGCGCAACAAGUAUAUAAGUUUUUCGGCAAAGCGAAAAACCGAUUCGGCACACUAAUUGACGCCGUAAUUAAGAUUUUUGGCACUGAAAGAUUAACGAAGGUUUUUAUGGAAAAAGGACGAAAAUCCGGAACUAAGGAGCCGUAACAGGAUUUCCUCUUUUAAAACGCCGUUGUUUUUCUGCGUCUGAAACUUCCCACAUAUGUUGCUUUUUUUGUCUACGUAUCGGCGACAUAAAACGACACGACAUUUAUACUUAUGCAUAUUUAAUUGGGUUUCAUGAAACAUCGACCCGUCAAACGAAACGGGAUAGAAUUUCGCAAUACACGCUAUCGACUUUAUAAUUUCUGAUAUACGAAGCGCAGAAAAACUUGAACUGGUAAUUACUAUGCGUUUUAAAAGUAUCCAAGUAAUGCCUUGAAUGAGUUAUCAGUAAUAACACUACGUGAAUAAGGAAAAAAAAAUUGGGAUUCUCUGUAACGUCAUCUGCGGAUUGAGUAAAUUUAAUCAGUAAAUAUUCGGGUCAUUCGCGGAUCUAGAAAGUCUGGGAAAAUUUUCAAUGUUCCCAUUUAAGGGAAAAUGCGACAGACAUACAGGUGACUGCUGGGGUUAAAACAAGUAAAUGUUCUAAAAUUGGAGUUAAACUACACAAAGACUCAAAUAUGUUGUUUAUUAUUGCCUUAAGUUGAUAACAGUAUAAAACUAGAAAUAAAUUUUUAUUUUUAAUGCUCUCACGCGUGAGAAAAUUUAACAGAACUAUUUAUUUAGGCUAGAUAUCACACAGAAAAAAAUGUCUAUAUAAAAUUAGUAACGAACCAAAUUUAGUUUUAAAUCUCCUGAGAGAGAGAGAAAAAGAGAAAAGUGUUCUACAGUAUUUUCACAGAUAAAUAUUGAAAGAUGCUAGAAAAUUCGGUAGAAUAUUCCACGCUCUCAUUUUCCGAAGUAAUCCGAACUUGAGAGGAACAGGUGGCCGCUUAUGUACACAAAAUAAUCCAGGAUCGUUUAAAUAUUCAUAUUCGCGUCGUUUAUCUUGUAGUUAUGAUUCUUGAAUCGUGUCGUGUAAGCGAAACUCAUGCAACCCCUUUUCUUUACCAACUGUAGAAGUAUACUAGAAUGCGGGAUUCUUUUAUAUCCAGGAUAUAAAUUUAUCUUGGUAUUUUUCGACUGGAAAAUACGCAACAGAUGGCCGAGUAUUUACUAAUGUGUCAAUAAAUCAUUUCUCGGAAGCUUCUAUGCGAUUUUUAGGAUGAUUCGGUGUCGGAUAUCAUAGACUUUAUAUAGCGUUUGAAGGUCGCUUUACACUUGUUUAUUUUCAUUAGCGAAUUGUUUUCAAACUAAUAAUCGUAUAGACCGGAAUAGGUUUUUUCUUGACGUACAAAAGACUAAAUGCACGCAAAAAAAUAAACACGCU
rnacentral:lncRNA from 1 species